GAAGACAGGAUAUUAUGAAUGUGCCAUGGACAUGUUAUGAGGGAACCUGAUGUACCACUUCUAAUCAAGGUUCUCAUGAGUUCUGGGAAUCACGAAACAACAGCAACACUGAAACUAGUAGAGCUCAUUUCAAAUGAUCCUGGAGUUGAGACAGAAAGAAAAACAAGGGAAAGAGGGAGGUAGAGAGAUUAAGAAAGAGGAGGAAGAUGGGGAAGAGAUCAGAAUAAAUGCAGAGCCAUCAUGAAGGUUGAUGCUGAGCUUGGGAGCCAAGAUGGCAGCAGAACCAAUCCAAGUCAUUCAAGUUGCCGUUAAUCCGUAGCAGGGUUCCACUGGACUUGACAGAUUGAUGAAGCCGGAAGAAGUUAUUACUUUAACUGUGCUGCUCCAUGUUUUCAUACCAUAUAUAGAUAUAGCUGAGAAUAAAAACUAAAUAAAUUAACACACAAGAGAAAGAAGUUAAGAAAAGCCCUGAAACCUUUAUGUUUAAAUAUGUGCAAAGGUGUCCUAAGACAUUAGAAAACUCCUUUUAUAAUUUUUUUGUAUUUAAAACUUAAGUAUGUUAUGAUAAUCUGGAGAAAAUAACUUCUACUCCCAAAAUAUGUUUGAAGCCUAAGGAUCCAGAGCCAGUGUUUGGAAUUUACAGUCAGAUGUAGUUUGAAUUCCACCUUUGUACUACUUACCUGGGUAAGCCUUGGAUAAAAUAGCAGAUUUAUUAUUUUUAACUUCAAUCUAAAUGCUUUGUAUCAAGUAAAUAUAACCCUGAAGUACCUCAAGAGCAAAGAACAUAUUUCAUAUUUUCUUCAUGGCUUAAGUUUUAUUCCAAAGCAGAGAGGUUUAUCUAUAUAUUUUAUCAUUAUUUAGAGAAUUUCUAGAAUUUGAAGCAGUGUGAUCAUUCUUAUAAAUGUCACAGGGAUUCGCUUUCUUCCUCUCACUUAAAGCCUUGCUAUUCACCAUCGCCCACUGUCUUCAUGCUGUACUCAUUUUUUUGUAUCCAUUAUUAAUGCUUGGAAGGUGACAAGAUUCUGCUUAUAUCAAAAUUGCUAUUCCUUCAUUAACGGAGAUAGUUUGCAAGUCUGUUUUCUAUAUCAAAAGUAUUGUUUAUAAAUGAGCACGCUGCUCAAACUUAAGCAAAAAUAAGAAAUCAUUCAUCAUAAUGUUAUAUGUGUGCUGUUAUGACCUAAAUUUUGUGGUUGAAGUUUUACU